GAUGAACGCUAGCUACAGGCUUAACACAUGCAAGUCGAGGGGGAGCAGGGUAGCAAUACCGCUGACGACCGGCGCACGGGUGAGUACCACGUAUUCAACCUUCCAAUAACUCGGGGAUAGCCUUUCGAACGAACGAUUAAUACCCGAAAGUACUUUUUCAAGGCAUCUUGAAAAAGUGAAAGAUUUAUUGGUUAUGGAGUGGGAUGCGUUCCAUUAGAUAGUUGGUGAGGUAACGGCUCACCAAGUCUUCGAUGGAUAGGGGUUCUGAGAGGAAGGUCCCCCACAUUGGUACUGAGACACGGACCAAACUCCUACGGGAGGCAGCAGUGAGGAAUAUUGGUCAAUGGGCGAGAGCCUGAACCAGCCAAGUAGCGUGAAGGAUGAAGGUCCUAUGGAUUGUAAACUUCUUUUAUAGUAGAAUAAAGUGAGCCACGUGUGGUUUUUUGUAUGUAUACUAUGAAUAAGGAUCGGCUAACUCCGUGCCAGCAGCCGCUGUAAAAC
rnacentral:rRNA from 1 species